rnacentral:lncRNA from 1 species
UUAUUUUUCCUCGAUAUUGUGGAUUCGUAUAGAAUAUCUACAAAUUUAGAGUAAGUUUCAAAAAACCACAGUUUUUGGAACAGUCAUUUGGCCGAAUCGCAUUAACGCAAAACCGUCAACAGAACAACACAUUUUGAAUCAGUUUGUCUCAACCAGUCCGAAACCGGGUGUUUUGACGAUUUGACUUGAUUUCUUACAGGUGAGGCCCACCUAUCGGAUGUCACGUCGGCAGCGACCCGUCCUGACCCGUUAACCCUCCUGUUGGGUGCUGCCAAAAUUUUAGAUUUUAUUUAUUGAACUUUUAAUUUUUGAACGUUUUGUUUUUAGUUUUUUAUUUUAAUUUGCGGAAAAGUAA